rnacentral:lncRNA from 1 species
GUCGGUUUAGUCUUAAGUCUGUGUAUUUUUCUUUGUGAUUACAUGCCAAUAACAUAACUGAUUUGCCUUUUUGUAAAUUAAGCUAGGGGGAGCCAAAUAAGUCAUAUUUCUGCUAUUUUUUUUCCCUUUCAGAGCCCAAUGUUUCCAAAGGACAUUAACUUUGAUUUCUCUGAUGAAGUCUUUUGUCUGCCUCUCAUGCUUUACAAAAUACUACUGCGUCAGAGCCGAAAACAAAACCAUGCCUUAUGAAGUAACAUGGGAGAUUCUCAUGGGCUUUCAUGAAAAAACAAAUAUGCUACCUCUGAGGACUGCCUUUGGGUCAAGGAUUCAGUUUGAAGAAAUGUCUGACUCCAAUCACUCUGAACCUCAAAUUUCUCUUAAAUGAAGGUAAAAUGCCUUAACAGCUUC